rnacentral:rRNA from 1 species
AUUGAACGCUGGCGGCGUGCCUAACACAUGCAAGUCGAGCGGUAACAGGCGUAGCAAUACGUGCUGACGAGCGGCGGACGGGUGAGUAACGCUUAGGAAUCUACCUAGUAGUGGGGAACAACCCGGGGAAACUCGGGCUAAUACCGCAUACGCCCUUCGGGGAAGGCGGGGAGUCGCAAGACCUCGCGCUAUUGGAUGAGCCUAAGUCGGAUUAGCUAGUUGGUAGGGUAACGGCCUACCAAGGCGACAAUCCGUAGCUGGUCUGAGAGGACGACCAGCCA